UACGAAGGGUGCAAACGUUGCUCGGAAUUAUUGGGCGUAAAGCGCGCGUAGGCGGCUUGGCAAGUCGGAUGUGAAAUCCCUCGGCUCAACCAAGGAAGUGCAUCCGAAACUGCCGAGCUUGAGUACUUAAGAGGAUCACGGAAUUCCCGGUGUAGAGGUGAAAUGCGUAGAUAUCAAGCGGAACACCAGUGGCGAAGGCGAGUCCCUGGACAACUCCUGACACUGAGGCACGAAAGCUAGGGGAGCAAACAGG
rnacentral:rRNA from 1 species